rnacentral:lncRNA from 1 species
GAUAUCCACAUCUCUAUCUCAGAGACAUGGGGCUUCAGAGCUGCCCCUUUCUAUACCAGAAGUGUGGCAAGGUGAGGUGCUGAGAUAUUCUUCUUUGGUCCACAGACUGUCCUACACCUACAAUUGUAAGUCACAGUCAGUGGACAAACCAGAGGAAAUGUUGAGACUCCAACCCAGACAAAGAGUAUCUUCAGUGAUGGCUAAGGUUUGGUCCACCUAACAGAUGGUCCUCUUUCAUCUUGGAUCCCCAAUCCUUCUUCAGGGAGAAGUUCCCAGCCUCUUUUGCCUCUGCUCCCACAUUCUGAGAGGAAGUUGUCCCUCUACCUCCUUAUCAGAGCUCCAGACUCAAAGAUUUACCUACCAACUCACAUGUGCCCUGUGCCCAGCCUCCUCAUAUGAGUGUCGGGAAGGGCGCUGCUCUACAGCCUGAGUCCCACUCUCCUCCUUGCCUUACCUGGAGCAUACAGGCUGCAGCAGCGAGUGUUGUUGCCACUUCCGUUCUGAACCUUGCCAGGGCCACAGCCAGGCUCCUCAACUACACUCGGCUGACCUAGGUCCAGCACACAGAGCAUCGAGACUCCAUACAGCAUGGCCCAUGCCCCCAUAGUGCUUCUCCUGAGUCUUCUGUCGGCUGAUUUCAGGAGUUCCCGCUCCAACUUGCCUUGUCUCUGCCUCUGCCUCUGUCCCCACCCCUCAGACUGGGCUUCAGGCCAGCUCCACCUCCAGUUUCCGGCAGACAUCUGAGGUGUUUGUAAAGGCCUUCUGUGAAGUGUAGAGCAGAGCUAUCCCCUUUCUGGACAUCUCCUAACCCCUACAUGCCUCUCCCAACUCCAGCAAACUCGCCCUGGCUAGGCUACAGAGGAAAAGGAUGCCCAUUCACAUGUGCCACUGCUGCCACCUGUGGGCACCCCUUAUUGUAUAAAACUACCCCCUUCCCCCUUCUGCCCCAGGAAGUUCCUCUAAGCCUGGGAAACUAGGAGAGCCAGCGAGAGGAGUCCAGAGCACACACCAUGCCUCGUUAAGAAGAUCAUCAUAAAGUGGGAGGCCAUUGUGAUUGUGAUAGACCCGGGAAACCUGGUCUGACGCCCUUUUAAACUGCAGUUGGAGGAGGCUGACGAAGUAAAAAAGUUGACGUUGCCAGCUAACUAUGCGACCCUUUUGAUGUCUGUUGUCAGGUGUGUAAGCUUCUUGAGUGGCAGCCCGGGUCUCUGCGGUGUAUUGAGGGGGCUCUGGGUACUCUACUCUAGGCCAACCUCAGCAGAACCUCUUUUAUUAUUUUUUAUAUGUAUAUGCAUUGGUAUUUUGCCUGCAUGUAUGCCUGUGCAGGGAUGUUAGAUCUGGAAGUUACAGACAGUUGUGAGUGGUUGCUGGGAAUUGAGCCUUGAUCCUCUAGAAGAGUCGUCAGUGCUCUUAAUCACUGAACCAUCUCUCCAGCCCCCCAGAACCUCUUCUUUGAGAAACUUCUGCAGUUCCUGGCCAAGGAGGUGGGUCUGGUUACAAGGACAGAAGGAAAGCGACAUGCUUUGACUCUACAUAAAGGUGCCGAGGGCCCCAGUACAGGGGAACGCCAGGGCCAGGAAGCAGGAGUGGGUAGGUUGGGGAGCAGGGCAGGGGGAGGGUAUAGGGG